rnacentral:lncRNA from 1 species
CUUUGGUUGAACCUACUGGAUGGAGAAGGAGCUUGGUAAAGGAGCUUCUGUGGAGCAGAACAGAGCGAGGAAAGGGCAGGGAAAAAUGGAAGUGUGGACGGGCAUGGCCUGCCUAGAGUGAGCAUCUUUGAAUAGAUUGUCUUCAAUGUCAAUCAUUGCCACUGUCCCUCGGGCUGAGGCAUGGGUGGACCAGGAGCUGGACUGGCCAGUGGACACUCGCAGCCAUUUGGGAGGGCAAGGGGAUGCAAUGUUUGUCCACACAGGUACCUCCUGUGACUGGCACAGCAGCCCUUGGUGAUAAUCUCCAUGGGCCAGAUAAACAUGACCCUGUGUACUUCCAUUUCACUGCUCUGAUUCUUUCUUUCAGAAGCCUCCUACCACCCUCUGAGAAGAUUUUCCAGGCAAAACCCAGAUCUGCUGUAGUGACUUCAGAAGAAAGAGGUUUGAAGGAGGAUGAGAAGCCGAUAGCCAACGGUACAAGUAAAGGAUGGAAGGCAACCCAGGGCAGGCAGCCCCUACCACCUUUACACUGGAGGCACCCAAGCCCUGGAACCUGGAACCCACUCAACCAUGGUGAGUCCUGCCUGGGGGUAGCUGGGACUUCAGAGGGAGGGGCUGUCUGGGGGGAUGCUGCAGUGGCAAAAGAGACACCGUCACGGCCCAUCAAAUGCCAGCUAGAGCUGAGAGGGAGAUGGAAAAUACUUUUCUUUCUUUCUUCUAGUCUCCCCCGGGGCCUCCCAGUGGCCAAACUUUGCCAGAGCCAGUUCUUAAGGGAGUCUGGGGAAUGCUGA